AACUUGAUGACCCUGGAUGCAAAUUAUAGAAAUAGAGGUGGAUAGUUUGCCUACUUUUUGUCUUUGAAGUUGCCAGAAGAGGGAUGAAGAGUCUGUGAAUUCUGAAGAGGCAGAAGAUAGCAAUGAGAGUUAACAGAGAUAUGGCAUGAACAUGUAUUAGAAAAAUGAUUCACACACAAUAGAAAAGAUAAGUAAGACCAGGAUUGGGUGGCUUUGGAGAAUGUAAUUUCAGCUUGAAUAUGAAGAUGCUUGUAGAACAGUGUUCCUUCCUCUGAACAUGGCUACAGAAGAACAAAUCAGUUAGUCUGAAGAUGAAAACAAGAAGCUGAUGGUAGACACAUUCUGAACUGGCUAACACAACACUCUGAAACUGGAGGAUAUCAACUGAUAAGAUAUGAAGUUCUCCCUUAGUUUCAAAUACACUGGGUUCAUAAAUUAUUGACAUAAACAAUAGAUGUCCCAUCAAGCUACCAUGAAGAUAGCUAGGUCUGCACAACUCCUCAAGUGUCGACCCCUCCAAGCACAUCCUCCACCUGGAACUGUGAACUGAAUGGAUAAAUGUGUUGGUCAGAAAGGUCUUUACAUCUUUGAAUUGUAA
rnacentral:lncRNA from 1 species